ACAUGCCUAUAGCAUAGUGUUAAUGCAUCGGAUCCCAUUAGAACUCCACAGUUAAGUGCGUUCAAGCUAGAGUAGUACUGGGAUGGGUGACCACUUGGGAAUUCCUAGUGUUUUACAUGCC
rfam:Picea glauca, whole genome shotgun sequence.